rnacentral:rRNA from 1 species
AAUGAACGCUGGCGGCAGGCCUAACACAUGCAAGUCGAGCGGACCCAUCGGGAUUAUCGGCGGCCGGGUGAGUAACGCGUGGGGAUAUGCCCUUCUGUACGGACUACUUCUGGGAAUCUGAGGUUUUUAGCGAAUACGACCUUUGGGGGAAUGAUUUAUCGGGCAAGGUUUAGCCCGCGUUGGAUUAGAUUGUUGGUGGGGUAAUGGCCUACUAUGCCCCGGAUUCAUAGCUGGGUUGAGAGGCUGGUUAGCCACACUGGGACGGGGACGCGGCCCAGACUCCUACGCGAGGCAGGAGUGGCGGACGUUAUACAAUGGGGUCAACCCUGAACGUGCCGUGCUGCUUGAGUGCUGAAGUCCGUAGGGUUGUAAAGCUCGUUCAGCUGGGCACAUAAUGACGGUACCAGAAGAAGAAGCCCCGGCUAACUCCGUG